GCUAACAGAAUCAAGGGAUAUGGGGAGAAAGCAGGAAUGGGGUACUGAUUCUGGAUGAUCAGCCAUGAUCAUAUUGUGAAUGGCAGAGCUGGCUUGAAGGGCCGAAUGGCCUACUCCUACAUCUAUUUUCUAUGUUUCUAGUCAUGAUAGGAGAGGUUCAUCCUGAUCCUUAGUGAGAAUAUGUGACCACAAUCUUUCCUGCUCAAGUUCCUACUGCUGUAAACCUUGCUGCAAACAUUUCUACUUGAGCAGGUUUUCCACUACGCACUCAACAAAAUUAUAACAGGGAAACAAAACAUGUCCAAGAGAUUUCCCAGCUCAUGUCCCACAACAUCCACCAGAGGGCAGCACCUCCACAAAUGAAUUUGUUUUGAUGUAAUCCUUUGUCCUGAGAGUGUUUAAAAAGUAAAACAUUUCGGUCAAGCUUGGAGGCUUUACAGAUGGCACAGUGACGCAGUGAUAGAGUUGCUGCCUUACAGCACCAGAGACCCGAGUUUGAUCCUGACUAUGGGUGCUGUCUUUACGUAGCUUGUACGUUCUCCUUAAGACCUGCGUGGGUUUUCUCCGGGUGCUCUGGUUUCCGCCAAAACUCCAAAGACGUCCAGGUGAACAUAAAAAAAAAAAACAUGGCACAACUUCAAAGAAGAGGAAAGAGUGAAGAAGGGGAAAGGAUUUCUUCCUGAAGACAAAAGGUGUAAUGUUUCGAACAUUUUUGAAAUCCACGUAUUUAUUGUUGGUGUUCAAGAAGGAACUGCAGAUGCUGGAAGAUCGAAGGUACACGAAAAUACUGGAGAAACUCAGCGGGUGCAGCAUCAUCUAUGGAGCGAAGGAAAUAGGCAACGUUUCGGGCCGAAACCCUUCUUCAUUGUUGGUAUUGGGGCGUUUUUCCAGAAUUUAAAUGCAACCCACCACAGGCCCCUGGAUUGGAAUUGAACUCACUACCUACAGUGCCACACACAGAGCUGUCUGAACUGCAAAGAGAAUGACAAUGAUGGAAGGAGGAGAAGUGAUGGGGGAAAAAGAUUGUGCUUGGAAUUAUGAUGUUGUGGCCAUUACAGAAACCUGCUUGGGAGAGGGACACAACUGGCAGCUCAACGUGCCUGGACUUCGAUGUUUCCUUAAACAGUAUGUUGAUAGUCAAGGAGGGAACACUCUGGACCUUGUAUUGGGAACCAAACCUGGCCAGGUGUUGCGGUGGAAGAAUAACUUGGAGAUAAUGAUCACAACUCCAUAGGUUUCUUGAGUUUUUGGCCCUGGCUGUGAUUUGUUCUCUACAUUUUCAUAUCUCGCUCCUGACUCUCAGUCUGAAAAAGGGUCUCACCCAAAACGCCAUCCAUUCCUUUUCUCCAGAAAUGCUUCCUGACCCGCUGAGUUAGUCCAGCAUUUUGUGUGUAUCCAUAGGUUUUAAGAUUGUUUUAAAUAAAGACAGGUCUAGAUGUUAGGGGAAGAUACUGGUCUGAAGAAGGGCUUCAACCCGAAAUAUCACCCUUUCCUCUCCAGAGAUGCUGCCUGUCCCACUGAGUUACGCCAGCUUUUUGUGUCUCUCUUCAUACUUAACUGGAGCAAGGCGGAUUACAAUGCCAUUAGACAAGAGCUAAGGAUAGAUUGGAAGCAGUUGUUAUUGGGUAAAUCCACAGAUGACAUGUGUGAGUGGUUUAAAGUUCAGCUGAUCAAAAUGCAGAAUCAGCGUGCUGAGAAGGGGUAAGGAUGGCAAGGUAAGGGAACUGUGGAUGGCCAAGGAAAUUGUAAAAUUGGUCAGGAAGAUAAAGGAUGCACGUCAGAUUUAAGAAGGUAGCAUCAGACGGGGCUUAUGAGGAAUAUAAAGUGAGUGGGAAAGAACUCAAGCGUGUGAUUAGAAGGGCCAAAACAGGCCAUGAAAUGUCUUUGGUGAGUGAGAUUAAGGAAAAUCCCAAGGUUUUUAUGGAUACAUUAAAACUAAGAGGGUGACCAGGGAGAAGGUAGAACUGCACAAAGAAAAACAAGAUAAUCUAUGCUUGGAAUUAAAGGAUGUAGAUGAGGUACUAAACGAGUACUUUGCAUCUCCAUGAACCACACAGAAACCUUGGGUGGGGCGCAAAGUCUCCAGAGGUUUCCGUUCAGGUUUCCUAAGUGGGACAGGGGCAUUUGUUUGUUGACAACACCAAAAUUGGAGGAGUUGAGGACAAUGAGGAAUGCUGUCAGAAGAUACAAUCGGAUUAUAGAUCAGCUGCAGAAAUGGGUAGAGAAAUGGCAGAUGGAAUUUAACCAAUAUGAGGUGCUGCACUUUGGGAGGUUGAAUAUUUUUGGGAAGAGUAUACAGUUAAGACCAUUAUCAGUGUUGAUGCGCAGAGGGAUCUUGGAGUUCAAGUUCACAGCUCAUUAAAGGUGGCAGCACAUGUAGAUAGGAUAGUAAAGAGAGCGUAUGGUAUAGGGUGAUUUCACGAAAGGUCACUGGAGCGUAGAUCCGCACACACGUGAUCGAAAAUCUCAAGUGGAGGACAUGCUAGACAUCCGGUACAUCCAGCGAGCAAACGCGAUAAUU